rnacentral:rRNA from 1 species
UACAGAGGUCUCAAGCGUUGUUCGGAUUCAUUGGGCGUAAAGGGCGCGUAGGCGCCUUCUAAGUCAGACGUGAAAUCCCUCGGCUCAACCGAGGAACUGCGUCUGAUACUGGAAGGCUUGAAUCCGGGAGAGGGAUGUGGAAUUCCAGGUGUAGCGGUGAAAUGCGUAGAUAUCUGGAGGAACACCGGUGGCGAAGGCGGCAUCCUGGACCAACACUGACGCUGAGUGAGCGAAAGCCAGGGGAGCAAACGGG